AUUGAACGCUGGCGGCAGGCCUAACACAUGCAAGUCGAGCGGAUGAAGGGAGCUUGCUCCUGGAUUCAGCGGCGGACGGGUGAGUAAUGCCUAGGAAUCUGCCUGGUAGUGGGGGAUAACGUCCGGAAACGGGCGCUAAUACCGCAUACGUCCUGAGGGAGAAAGUGGGGGAUCUUCGGACCUCACGCUAUCAGAUGAGCCUAGGUCGGAUUAGCUAGUUGGUGGGGUAAAGGCCUACCAAGGCGACGAUCCGUAACUGGUCUGAGAGGAUGAUCAGCAACAUUGGAACUGAGACACGGUCGAGACUCCUACGGUAGGAAGCAGUGGGGAGUAGUGGACAAGGGGCGCAAGUUUGAUCGAGCUAUGUGGCGGGAGUGAAGAAGGCCUCCGGAUGGUAAAGUUGUUUGAGUGGGCAAGAAGAGCAGGAACUGAAUACCUUGAUGGUGUGACGGUACCAAAAGAAUAAGCACCGGCUAACUUCGUG
rnacentral:rRNA from 1 species